rnacentral:rRNA from 1 species
GUCCGCACGAGCGUACCCCUGUCUUCAGUUGCCAUCGGGUGAUGCCGGGCACUCUGGAGAGACUGCCCAGGAUAACGGGGAGGAAGGUGGGGAUGACGUCAAGUCAGCAUGGCCUUUACGCCCAGGGCUACACACGUGCUACAAUGGCCGGUACAAAGGGCUGCCAACCCGCGAGGGUGAGCGAAUCCCAAAAAGCCGGUCUAAGUUCGGAUUGUAGUCUGCAACUCGACUGCAUGAAGUCGGAAUCGCUAGUAAUCGUGUAUCAGCAACGAUACGGUGAAUACGUUCCCGGGCCUUGUACACACCGCCCGUCAAGCCAUGGAAGCCGGGAGUGCCCGUAGUCUGUGACCCAACCUAGUGAGGGAGCAGCCGAAGGUAAGUUCGGUGACUGGGGCUAAGUCGUAACAAGGUAGCCGUAGGGGAACCUGCGGCUGGAUCA